rnacentral:rRNA from 1 species
AAUAAAAGAUGAAUCCUGCCCAGUGGUUUCUAAUUAAUUAAUAUUAAAAUGUUAUAAUGAAACUAAACGGAAGCGGUAACUAUGACCGUAGUAAUGUAGCGUAAUCAUUAGCCAUUUAAUUGGUGGAUAGUAUGAAAGGAUAAACGAAUAUUUCACUGUCUUAGAAAAAGAUCAUUUAAAAUUGAAAUAAUAGUGAAGAUGCUAUUUAAAAUUGUAAGACGAAAAGACCCUAUAGAGCUUGACUAUAAACUUUAUAACUAUAAUAUUAUAAAGUUUGGUAGUUUAGUUGGGGCGACUGUUUUUUAAACAUAACAAAAAUAAACAACAUUAAUCAAAUAAUUUAUUAUAUAAUUCAUAAAUUUAAUAAUUACUAAAGUAGGUGAUAAUGACCCGUUAUUUCUUAAUAAAUUAGAAUAACGUUUAAUAAAUAAAAGCUACCUUAGGGAUAACAGGAUAAUUUUGUGUUAGAGUUCUAAUUAAACACAAAGUUUGUCACCUCUAUGUUGAAUUAAGAUAUCCUGAUGGUGCAGAAGCUAUCAAAGGUAGGUCU